GCCUGUGGGCUGAGGACAAAAUCCUUGUGAAUAUACGAAUAUCUGUGGUCUGAGGACAAAACCCCUGUGAAAAACACAUUUAAAAGGUAGACAUAUUAGAGCUCUUAAAGUCAGGGAAGAAAUGGUCAGAGAAGCAUGAGGACAAUAAGAAAAUAUAUUUUGCCCCAUAGAAGAAAUAUUUGUUACUUUCAUUUAACGGCAAACAACAGUAAAAUCUACUACAAUGACUUAAAUAGAGAUUUGUUGAUCUCAUACAACAAAAAGUCUAAAGGAAAAGAGUCCCAGACUAACAUAGUAUUUCUCCAUUCUCUUUAUCAUGGGGCUGUGUCUUUAUGGUCAUAAUAAAAUUACUACAUCUUCAGGCACAUCCUCAUUCUAAUCGGGCAAAGGAGGAAAAUUGAAAGAGGCUGAUAUUGCAUGCCUGCUAUGGUAGACUAAUUGCAAAAUUGUUUCCAAUUACUUAUCUUUCCCUGAAUCCACACCCCUUAUAAUAGGAUUUUAAUGUUGCAGAUCCUCUUAUCAGAGGUGGAGUCUAUUUCCCCACCUUUUGAAUCUAAUGUGACUUAUGACUUGCUUUGGCCAACAGACUGCAGUGGAAGUGGUGAUGUGUCCAUUGCCAAUCUAAGCCUUGGAAGAUCUGUGUGUUCCAUGAACUCUUCUGGAACUCUGCCACUGCUACAUGUAUAAGCAUGCCUCAGCCAACAGCCAGCCAAAUCCCAGGAGCAGAUCUAUGUAGGUGAUCCUAAAAUAAACACGAAGGCUACUGACAGUGACAGAAGGCAGUCAAAUGCUUAGGCAGAAACCGGCAGGUCCCUGGUGAAGCUCCACCGCCAGGCUGAAGACAGUUUAAAGGGUGAAAGCCAAGUUACAAGGCAAAUCCUUGGAUCAGAUUGAGAACCUGUCUUCCUGUUUGGUGUACUUUCCUCUGAUUGAUCUCCACCCUUCACCUAUUUUACAUAUACCUACCCUUUCCUAAUAGGUUUCCUACACUGUGAUGCCCACUUUUGAGUGGUGUCUUUGCUUUAAGUUUUUUUUUGCAUACUCACAAACCAGUCAGCACUCCCCAUUCUGAGUCCAUAGAAAGUCCCAGACCCAGCAACACUGAAAAAGAAAAAAACUACCCUAAUGUAGGGUUAGAGGACCACCAUCCCCAUGCCCCUUCCUCAUCCCUUCCCCACUGAGAGCUGUUCCAUUCCUCAAUAAAAUUCUUUUCCGUCAAUCCUAA